rnacentral:rRNA from 1 species
AUGAUCAGAUGUGACGGCGACAUGGCUGCCCCGGCCAUCGCCAACCUUGGCUGCCCAAUCGCGGCGCUGCCCAGCACCUACCUGGGGAUCCCACUCACCCUUGGACCCCCAUCCGCUGCACAGCUGCAGCACCUCGGCGACAAGACCGCUGGCAAGCUCCCCACCUGGAAGGCGCACCUCAUGAACAAGGCCGGACGCCUUGCCUUUGUGAAAUCGGUGCUGAGUGCGAUCCCCAUUCACCAACUUCUGGUGCUCGCGCCGCCAAAAAAGAUCCUCAAACUCCUCGAAAAAAUCCAACGAGGAUUCCUAUGGGCUGGCCGCACCAAGGUGCACGGCGGCAACUGUCACGUCAACUGGCAACGCGUCUGCCGCCUGACCCGGCUUGGUGGGCUCGGGGUGCACGACCUGGAGCGCACGGGCUUGGCCUUGCGCACCAGAUGGCUUUGGUUCGCCCGCACGGACGACAACAGGGCAUGGUCUGGCCUCGACCUUCAAUUCACUGCUGCGGAGCGCGCCUUCUUCUUCACGCCCACAACCAUGAUCCUUGGCGACGGCCAGCGUGCGCUGUUCUAG